rnacentral:lncRNA from 1 species
CUCAUACACUGCACAAGAAAGCCUUAGACAAAAAGGUGAGAAAGUUCUGAUGGUGCCAGCUGCCUUUUUAUGCCAUCUAAUCUGUUUAUAUGAAUAGGCCUAUAAUGAUGUGAUGUCAGUGACUGAUUCAGGGUGAGUUGGAGAAUAAUGAGGUGCCCCAUUAUCAUAAUUUCCCUGAUUCAGAUGAGUGGUUUUCUAACUCUGGGUGGUGAGCUCUUGCAUUGUUGCUUCAAACACUCGUGUUCUCUCUCUCGCUCUCUCUCUCUCUCUCUCUCUCUCUUGCUGUGUGGCUGUUUGUGUAGUUCGGCCCACACUAUAUGUUUAUGUCAUGAAUGACAAAUAAAUGGAGCACUCUGAGAACAUUUACGAGGUGGUAAGGAUUUUCCUCUGAAAAUGACACUUCCAUGCUGCAUUAUCAAACCUGUGAGAGGUUUUAAUAAAUCUGUUAUGAGUAACAUUUUGGUUUUAAGACAAGUGGAUUUUCUAAUUUGUCUCCAGCCUGCAGCCUACAGCACUCAUCAUCAGCUAAAGGUGAUAGUUUUCCGCAGAUGUGACUGGAGUGGUAACCAACAUUAUUAAGUGUCUGCCAGCGAAAGCUUGAUGUCUGUGGUUUGUGCAGCUUCACGCUUACACAGGAAAUAGGGAUGAGUUGGUUUUCCUGUUUCUCUUCAUCUGUAUUUUGUUUAGAUUCACAUAUCAGUAGGAUUUUCACUUGCAGACUCUGAAUUAACUACGGGACUGAGGUUAUGUGGUGUCUAACAAAACACUUUUUUAACUAAGUCACCACAUUUUGUAAAUGGUUUCAUAUGCUCAAAAUUUCUGUCAGAAAUGUUUUACAGGAGUGGUGAUAAGAUUAAAAAUUACAUUUAGAAGUAUGUUUGAAUCUAUUGUAUGUAAAAUCACCUGGAAAUAAGACAAGUUUUGCUAACUUAAACUGGUCCUUCAUUAACUACAUAAAGAGUGGCUCCCUUUUAAUGCAGUCCGCCAUCUUACACACUGAACAGACAAACUUGAAACAGCCAUAAUGAGUGUUUUUGUGUUUCAUGAGUAUCAGCAUGAAAUGCAGCAACUGAAAGACAAAGGAGAAAGUGAUUGUUGCGCACAAAAAGACAUUGAUGGUAAAACCCUGUCAAAUGAAGGAUUAAACUUACGCAUUACAGGCUUCUUGUCCUUUUAGGCCACCAUCACUUCAGCAAGGGCAGGGGUGAGCAAGGUGGAAUUUUAGUGUAGAACCUGGCUGCUAGAUUUUGUCAAAUACUCUCUUUUCCACAGACUGAGCCUUCAUGAGGAAAAGUGUUAUUCAAGUUACUUUAGAUAUUUGUUUUUUUACUCACCACAUUAUUCAGGUAGCCUCUAGAAAGAUAUUAAACCAUGAGAGUUACUUGUUCAGUUACUCUACUUCGUUACUCUGUCCAGCCAUGUCAAAGUAGAUCCAAUUUUCCCAUUGUUCACCAGGUGUAGUUCAAUGACACCAUGUAGCAUUUUGGGGGUCUUGUCCUCCUCAUCACAAACCCCUCAACUAUGAAUAAAUACAAGUGGCAAACAGAGUGAUGGAUAGUUGCAAAGUAAAUUUACUCAGGUUCUGCACUUGAAACCUCUGUGGUUGAAUGUUAGUGUCGAUUUUUGCGCCCCCAGUGGCCAGAACACUCUUUGCUUGUCUACGUAGCUACAUGUCUACAUGUCUAAGUACGUGGUGUUAUCUGACAAAAAUCUCAUCCUGCUGACGUUAGACUACUAAAUGUCUCAAUAUUGUGUACUGUGAAUACUCCAUAUGUAAAAUGUCCAAACAGGGCUGUUUGUCCAGGUGCUCUGCUGACACCUUCCUCUGGUUUCAGGCAUUAAAAAUGACAACAUAAAAUCAAAAUUCCUGUAGCUGACAGUCUUUUUUUGCUUUGUUUCAAUACAAUUUGAAGUCUCUUGCAUUUAUGUCAAAAACUCCUCAUAGCAGUUUUCAGUACAUUUUUCAAGUAUCUGCACCUCAUUUGAAUGUACACUUUUUGGGGACACUUUUUCUCAGUUACUCCACAUCAUUAGAAAGACAAAAACUUGACUAUUACUUUACUACAUUCUAUGAAUCUUCUUGUUACUCACAACCUUUGCUCUGAAGUCAGCUGAUGAAUUUUCUCUUAUUUCCUAAAAUCAUACACUGAGGAAACUAAACUGUGUUUGUGAAGCCCUCUGUGUGGUUUGUCUGUAUUUUAAGCCUCAUGUAUCCAUGGUCAAACGUAGAGCAGCUCAAAGCAAACACUACUGAGCUCAGAGAGUUAAUUUGCUGUUGGUAAUGACGCCGCAAUGGAGAAGAAAGAUGACUCUACAUCUUUGGCCCGAGUUUAAGGUUUUCGGAUGAAGAAUAAGUUGUGUUGUUCAGAUGUUUACUCUAGAAUAUGAGUAUUGUGUCUACACAGUCUUCAUCAUGACCUCCAAAAAGGAUGUUAAAGCAUGAGACUGAACAUUUGUGUUGUUCCAGAUGAACAUUUUAAACUCAGUUGUCUGUACUUGCAGUAACUUGGUUGCUGUUUUUGAUUCUGUGACUGGUUGUUUCUAUUAUUUUGGAGCAGCAAACCUGGAAAUUUGCAGCAUGUGAGACAAAUUUCCAAACAAACAUCACAGAGCAGAAAGAACAUCCAUGAUUUCUUAACUGUGGUCAUGCAGAGAGAAAAAUCAACAAUGUUUUAAGUUUAUAAUGAAAAAAAGAUUUAAAAUGUUGGUCUUAUUACAGUUUUUUAUCUAGAAGCCUAGCAUUUCAUGACCAGCCACCACCAGUAAAUGAUAAAAAAAAAAAAAAAACAAUGUUAAAUGCACUUUAAUUCGUUGUUUUUGGACAUUUUGGACAAAACAAGUGUUUGGUGAAAAGCUCAACGUCACCUACACAUGACAAUGCAGCUGGAAAAGCGUUGUAUUAUCUCCUCUUGUAGUGGCUUGGUUGAAACGGAUAUUUACAGACACUUAGAAGUUAUGCACUAUGAGCUCUAUUUUCGUGUCCGCCGGUGAGGCGGCAGAGGGUGGCGGACCCCGCGCAGUGGUGUUUUCGUCUGGCAGGGCCAGGUGUACAGCCAGUUUGGUAUUUUCGUGAACUGAGGCGCACCAAGGUCCGCCAAGCUGGGCGUGGUGGCGUGGCAGAGGGAGGUGUCGACAGAAUCAGCUGCCGCCGUGACAUUUUCGUGCUCGCCGGUGGCGUAUAAAUUGCGCUGAAAGCUCGCCGAUUCAAACCUGGUCAGCUUUCAGCGCAGGCGGAGUGCAGCUGGUCUAGUGGUAUUUUGGUAGACCUGCGGCGUAUCGGCAUACGUCACUGAUGCCUCACCGGCAGGUUUCCACAGUUUCAGGCACAUUUCAGUGCAAUAAAUAAUCAUCAACAACUAAUAAUCUGAGUCAGCACAUACAUUUAGAUCUAUAUAGAUCUAUUCUGAUCUAUAUCUGAUCUGAUGAGCGCGUUUGGCACGUGUUUGGACACACAACCUGACCGAAUCAACACAGCUGAAACCGCAUUAAAUUAAAUUAAAUAUCUAGUAAAUAGACACACAUGAUGACGUUAACAAGAUACGUAAUUCCUCUCCCUCCUUUUCUUUCUUCCUCUUCCUCUUAGAGCUCAAAAUAAGAUGUCUCUGUGUCCUCUCCCCGUCCUGCUGGCUGCUGUCCUGUCCUGCUGGCUGAACAGAUGAUUUGUUUCAGUGAUCAGAUAAGUUAUUGGUUCCGAUGGUUCCGAUUUUAAUGCCAUUUUUGGAAUUUAUGAUGUGAUCUGUGAGCACAACCCACCUUUGUCACGUGAGGUUUGAAUAUAUGCAACUUAAUGUGAGUGUCUUUAUUUGUGGAAAAG